UGCCAGCCGCCGCGGUAAUACGUAGGGAGCGAGCGUUAUCCGGAAUUAUUGGGCGUAAAGCGUGCGUAGGCGGUUCGUUAAGUCAAAUCUGAAAGCCCACAGCUUAACUGUGGAGGGUGAUUUGAAACUAGCGAGCUUGAGUACGGCAGAGGUUAAUAGAAUUCAAUGUAUAGCAAUAAAAUGCAUAGAUAUAUUGAGGAACACCAGUGGCGAAGGCGGCUAACUGGACCGGAACUGACGCUGAUGCACGAAAGCGUGGGGAGCAAACAGGAUUAGAUA
rnacentral:rRNA from 1 species